UUAGUGGCGGACGGGUGAGUAACGCGUGGAAAACCUGCCGUAUACUGGGGGAUAACACUUAGAAAUAGGUGCUAAUACCGCAUAAGCGCACAGCUUCGCAUGAAGCGGUGUGAAAAACUCUGGUGGUAUACGAUGGUUCCGCGUCUGAUUAGCUAGUUGGUGGGGUAAUGGCCUACCAAGGCAACGAUCAGUAGCCGGCCUGAGAGGGUGAACGGCCACAUUGGGGCUGAGACACGGCCCAAACUCCUACGGGAGGCAGCAG
rnacentral:rRNA from 1 species